CAAGUUUGCCAGGUGGUUGCGGUCUGCUUACGAGCAGGUUGAGGAAAGUCCGCCCUCCACAGGGUACGGUGCUGGAUAACGUCCAGGCGGAGUGAUCCGACGGCAUAGUGCAACAGAGAGUAGAUUGCAGUUGAUUAUUCAACUGUGAGGGUGAAACGGUGGUGUAAGAGACCACCAGCGUCGGCAGUGAUGUCGGCGGCUAGGCAAACCCCACCGGGAGCAAGGCAAAGCAGAUGCAAUGAGGCGACCCGUCUCGCAUCGGGUAUGCUGCAUGAUGCGUGGCGUAAGUCACGUACCAGAUAGAUAACCACCCAAGACAGAAGGCGGCUUAUCGGUAAACUUGGAUA
rnacentral:RNase_P_RNA from 1 species